GGGACACACCUGGGACAGGUGUGACACAUCUGGGGACAUUGGGGACAUUGGGGGGACAGUGGGGACAUUGGGGGGACAUUGGGGACACACCUGGGACAGGUGUGACACACCUGGGGACACACCUUGGGACACCUGGGGACAUUGGGGACAUUGGGGACACACCUGGGACAGGUGUGACACACCUGGGGACAGCCGGGGACAAUGGGGAUAUGGGGGGGAUUGGGGACACCUGGGACACACCUGGGGACAUUGGGGGACAUUGGGGACAGCUGGGGACAGGUGUGACCUUACCUGAGACACCUGGGCACACCUGGGGACAGAUGGGGACACCUGAGGACAGGUGGGGACAGGUGUGACCUCACCUGAGACACUUGGGGACAUCUGGGACACACCUGGGGACAGCUGGAGACACACCUGGGACACACCUGGGACACACCUGGGGACAUUGGGGACACCUGGGGGCAUCUGGGGACAGGUGUGACCUUACCUGGGGACACCUGGGGACAUCUGAGACAGGUGUGGGGAGACCUGGGACACACCUGGGGACAGAUGGGGACACCUGGAGACAGGUGGGGACAGGUGUGACCUUACCUGAGACACUUGGGGAUACCUGGGACAGGUGUGGGGACAGGUGUGACACACCUGGGGACAUUGAGGACACACCUGGGGACACCUGGGACACCUGAGACAGGUGGGACACACCUGGGGACAGAUGGGGACACCUGGGGACAGGUGUGACCUUACCUGGGGACACCUGGGGAGAUCUGAGACAGGUGCGGGGACACCUGUGGACAUUGGGGACACACCUGGGACAGGUGUGACACACCUGGGGACAUUGGGGACAGUGGGGACAUUGGGGACACGCCUGGGACAGGUGUGACCUUACCUGGGGACAUUGGGGGACAUUGGGAACACACCUGGGACAUUGGGGACACACCUGGGACAUUGGGGACACACCUGGGGACACACCUACGGUGCACGGGGUCAUCAGCAAAAUGAUCAUUAACGAGGAGCUGAUGGUGAGGGGACAGUGGGGACAUCACUGGGGACAUUGGGGGACAGUGGGGGACAUUGGGGGACAUUGGGGACACACCUGGGGACAUUGGGGACACCUGGGGUCACCUGGACACAUUGGGGACAGUGGGGACAGGUGUGACCUCACCUGGGGACACCUGGGGACAUUGGGGUCACCUGGGGACAGGUGUGACCUCANUUUUCUCUGUGUCCCCUCACAAUUUCCUGCCAUUUUGUCCCUCAUGACUUCCCUUCACUUUGUCUUCUCAUGGUUGCCUUACCACUCCCUCCCCUCACAGCUUCCCUCCAUUUUGUCCCCUCACAGCUUCCCUCCAUUUUGUCCCCUCACGGCAUCUCUUCUACCUGUCCCCUCACAGCUUCCCUCCAUUUUCUCCCCUCAUGGCUUCCCUUCUCCCUGUCCCCUCACAGCUUCCCUCCAUUUUCUCCCCUCAGUUUCCCUCCAUUUUGUCCCCUCAUGGCUUCUCUUCUACCUGUCACCUCAUGGCCUCCCUCCAUUUUGUCCCCUCACAGUUUCCCUCCAUUUUGUCCCCUCAGUUUCUCUCCAUUUUCUCCCCUCAGUUUCCCUCCAUUUUGUCCCCUCACAACUUCCCUCCAUUUUCUCCCCUCAUGGCUUCUCUUCUACCUGUCCCCUCACGGCCUCCCCUCCAUUUUGUCCCCUCAGUUUCUCUCCAUUUUGUCCCCUCACAACUUCCCUCCAUUUUGUCCCCUCACACAUUCCCUCCAUUUUGUCCCCCCACGGCCUCCCUCCAUUUUCUCCCCUCAGUUUCCCUCCAUUUUGUCCCCCCACGGCCUCCCUCCAUUUUGUCCCCUCACAUCUUCCCUCCAUUUUGUCUCCCCACGGCCUCCCUCCAUUUUGUCCCCUCAUGGCUUCUCUUCUACCUGUCCCCUCACAGCUUCCCUCCGUUUUCUCCCCUCAUGGCUUCCCUUCUCCCUGUCCCCUCACACUUUCCCUCCAUUUCCCCCCUCACACUUUCCCUCCAUUUCCCUCCCUCACAUUUCCCCUCCAUUUCCCCUCCUCACAUUUCCCCUCCAUUUCCUCCCCUCACACUUUCCCGCCCUUUUUCCCCUCACGCUUUCCCGCCCUCUCUCCCCUCACGCUUGCCCUCCAUUUUCUCCCCUCACACUUUCCCGCCCUUUUUCCCCUCACCCUUUCCCGCCCUCUCUCCCCUCACGCUCGCCCUCCAUUUUCUCCCCUCACACUUUCCCGC
ensembl:lncRNA